GGGCCCGUGGCUCAACCUGGAAGAGCAUCCGGCUCUUAACCGGACGGUUGUGGGUUCAAAUCCCACCGGGCCCG
rnacentral:tRNA from 1 species